rnacentral:rRNA from 1 species
AGUGGCGAACGGGUGCGUAACACGUGGGUAACCUGCCUCGAAGUUGGGGAUAAGCCCUCGAAAGGGGGUCUAAUACCGGAUAAUGUCCCCGGAGGACAUCCUUUAGGGAUCAAAGGUUGCCAAAAUUCUUUAGCUAUCGCUUUGAGAUGGGCCCGCGGUCCAUUAGCUUGUUGGUGAGAUAAAAGCUCACCAAGGCUACGAUGGAUAGCCGACCUGAGAGGGUGUACGGCCACACUGGGACUGAGAUACGGCCCAGACUCCUACGGGAGGCAGCAGUAGGGAAUAUUGCGCAAUGCCCGAAUGGGUGACGCAGCAACGCCGCGUGGGUGAUGAAGUUCUUCGGAAUGUAAAACCCUGUCAGAGGGGAAGAAAAUUUUCGGGGCGAAUAGCCCCGGAAACUGACGGUACCUUCAGAGGAAGCUCCGGCCAACUCCGUGCCAGCAGCCGCGGUAAUACGGGGGGAGCAAGCGUUGUUCGGAAUCACUGGGCGUAAAGGGUGUGUAGGCGGGCAGGCGAGUCGGGCGUGAAAACUCCAGGCUUAACCUGGAGCCUGCGUUCGAUACCACCUGUCUUGAGUACGGGAGAGGAAAGUGGAAUUCCUGGUGUAGCGGUGAAAUGCGUAGAUAUCAGGAGGAACACCGGUGGCGAAGGCGGCUUUCUAGCCCGAUACUGACGCUGAGACACGAAGGCUAGGGGAGCAAACAGGAUUAGAUACCCUGGUAGUCCUAGCGGUAAACGUUGGGCACUAGGUG